CGCUCUUGAACAUGAGGAUGGCGUUGGAGAUCUUGAGGGCGGGGCCGAGCUUGAUGCUCAUGAUCUUCACGAUGUCGGCCUGAGUCAGCAGCAGGAAGGCCUCGCCGUCAAUCAUCUGCCGCGAAGCAUGCAACCGCAGGUAGUUGGUCCACGUAAAGUCUUCUUCUUUACAACCUGGAGGGCAGCGGUGAUGACGCAGACGUCAACGUCGGUGAUUGAAGAAAAGCAGGCGACAUUCUAUUGUUCCCUUUGAUCACCUCUGACCUUUGGGAGUGUGCAGUUUGUGUCCUGUGCUCUCACACCAGCCGACAGGGUGCACGUCAGGCCAGGUGUGAAUAUCAACAUGCCAAAGUACCUCUUGGAAAAGCUUGUCGGGAGCAGCGAUAGUUUUGCUUUCUUCCAGAUACUGAGUCCACGUCCACAGCUCCGCCUUCACGUCUCCGCCUUCAACCCAAACGUGGG